UAAAAAUAACAGUCCAGCGUCUAAUACCACCACCACCGCUGACCACCAGAGCAUGGACAACCCAUCGCCACCACCCCCCUCCAAGAGCUGGAGCAUACACACCCGACCUGAAAUCAUCGCCAAGUACGAAAUCCAUGAGCGAGUUGGGUCCGGUGCCUACUCCGACGUCUACAAGGCCCGUCGCCUAUCCGAUAACGUCAUCGUCGCCCUCAAAGAAAUCCACGACUAUCAGUCCGCCUUCCGCGAAAUCGAGGUCUUAAAAAUCCUCCAAAACUGCCCCAACAUCGUCAUUAUGUACGAGUACUUUUGGAGGGAGGACGAGGACGCCGUCUUGGUGUUGGAGUUCUUGAGGACGGAUUUGGUGGCGGUAGUUAAGGAGGGAAAGAAGAAUGGAGGGGCCGGGGUAAGUGUCGGGGAGGUGAAGAGGUGGAUGGUUCAGAUAUUGUGUGGAGUCGACGCCUGCCACAGGAAUAUGAUCGUGCAUCGGGAUUUGAAACCUGGUAAUUUGUUGAUUUCUGAUGAUGGAGUUCUCAAGUUGGCUGAUUUUGGCCAGGCAAGGAUGCUGAUGGAGCCUGGUUCUGUUGCUACUGAUGAGAAUCCUCAGCCGUAUGGAGAGAACCCAGUAGACCAGGAACAGGUUUUCCAACCAGCUGUGAUUGUUCCUGAGAUGGAGAACCCAUCCCAAGAAGCACAGGGAGACGAAGGGCAGGGUGUCAUAAGACGAGAUGAAUCAUUUAGAGAGAUCAUUGAAUUCAAGGCUCAUGAUUACUUGGAGG
rnacentral:misc_RNA from 1 species